rnacentral:rRNA from 1 species
ACUCCUACGGGAGGCAGCAGUGGGGAAUAUUGCACAAUGGGCGCAAGCCUGAUGCAGCAACGCCGCGUGAGUGAUGAAGGCCUUCGGGUCGUAAAGCUCUGUCCUCAAGGAAGAAUAAAUGACGGUACUUGAGGAGGAAGCCCGGCUAACUACGUGCCAGCAGCCGCGGUAAUACGUAGGGGGCAAGCGUUAUCCGGAAUCACUGGGCGUAAAGGGUGCGUAGGCGGUUUUCAAGUCAGAAGUGAAAGGCUAUGGCUCAACCAUAGUAAGCUUUUGAAACUGUUAAACUUGAGUGCAGGAGAGGAAAGUGGAAUUCCUAGUGUAGAGGUGAAAUUCGUAGAUAUUAGGAGGAACACCAGUGGCGAAGGCGACUUUCUGGACUGUAACUGACGCUGAGGCACGAAAGCGUGGGGAGCGAACAGGAUUAGAUACCCUGGUAGACUGUCA